CUUGUCUGUUCUCUCAAUAUGUAUAGACCCAGAACCACUACAAAAAACUUCAGACCAGCGUGUUGUAUAUCAUCCUGAUUCCACAGAUUCCACCCAUACACUCUUCUCAGAUGCAACAAGCAAACAGACGCUCCACUACCAACCGAUCCUGCUGACUGGCCUGCACAUCUCACGAACACAAUAAGGACAGAGUUUGUUCGGAGCGGACCAAAUCAGAGAUGGGCCAUCCUCAAGAAAAAUGUCAACCCUGGUCAGAAACCAGUUGGGCGAGCAAAGUGAAACCUGUGGAACCUCUGCGAUAUGAAGCCACAGCUGUAAGAGAGGCACUGCCUGAGGUGAGAAUCCAGGCCAAAGACCCAAUCAUCAGGAUUGAAGCCCAGUCUCUGGCAGAAGAAGUGGGGUCAUUCUGCUUUUCACUGUGCACAGUGGUCUGGUAUGAUGUGUUGAUUCAAAUUCAGCAGGUGAGCAAACUCUUGCAGUCCCAAACAAUG